GACGAACGCUGGCGGCGUGCUUAACACAUGCAAGUCGAGCGGUAAGGCCCUUUCGGGGUACGACGAGCGGCGAACGGGUUGAGUAACACGUGGGUGACCUGCCCUCAGCUCUGGGAUAAGCCUGGGAAACCGGGUACUAAUACUGGAUAUGACUCCAUGACGCAUGUUGUGGGGUGGAAAGCCUUGUGCGGCUGAGGAUGGGCCCGCGGCCUAUCAGCUUGUUGGUGGGGUGANGG
rnacentral:rRNA from 1 species